ACCACCCUCAUUUUUCUUAUAUACUCCCUUACUCAUCCUCUAAAACGGAGAUCGGAUCCCUCACCCUAAAAAAAAACGCUAGCCAGCCGCCCCUCUAUUUCUUUUCUCUCCAUCACUCAAGCCCAUUCUCAUCUCACUAUCAUUUUACGCACACGAAUCUAUCAUCUGUUAUUCUCACAAACACACACGAGAUGGCUGAAAAAAUAGGUCUGAAACUCGAAAAUUAAAAAGAGGUCUGAAAACAAAAAGAAAAUUAGUGGAUUUCAACGGAUUUUACAUGGGAAAUGAUUCAAAGGUCUGGAGUUUCUUUUAUUUUUGGUUGAUUUGAGAGAGUUCUCCAUUUGUUCAUGGGUUUGCAAAUCUAGAGUGAAUCUGCAUUAUCUCCCCACUUUCUGGGUGUUCCAGUUUGAUUUCGGAUUCAGAAAUUGAAGCUGCGUUUUGUUGAUUUUUGCUGUUGCUGAGCUCCGAUUUACUGAUUUCCAGCACUUAUGGAGGUUGAUUGAAUACUGUUGGGUUUGCGGUGCCGAUUCGAAGUCCGUUCGUGGUUCGUAUCGUGUUUCUGUUGCCGUUUUAAACUCCGGACGUAGAUUCGUCUCGCUCGUAUAACUGCUGAAAUUUCUGUCAAUUAAAUCUUCUCAUUCAGGUCAAUGUCAGAUGUGAAAGAUAAAGCGACGCCGAGGUCGAAAUAGCUUGGCAGAAGACGAGAACGAUGACGAGCAUCCAUCCUUAGUAUGAAGUGAAGACAAGUCUUAGGAUUUAGAUUCCCUAGAGAAUUUUCUAAUGGAUAUUUCCUUCCGAUGUACUAUCUAAGGUUUUGUGGGUCACGUGCUCUUAUAAAUAGGAAGAGAUGGAGGUUAGAAAGGGGAUUGGACCUAUUGUAAAGAAAUUCAUCAACAUUCUCUGUGUACAAGAUUCUCAUUAAUAGAAACAAAGCUUGACUUUACACUCUC